GGGGCAUACAAAUUUGAGACGUCUCAUGAUUUAAAUCCCUGUUAUGUUCAGAAACCAUGACUUCCACAACCCAUUUAACAAAAUACAGAACUACGGCAAAAGCACUAACAUUCAGAUUCCUUCGAACACAAGGACAAGCCUCAUCAUCCAUGAAUUUGAUGUCUCUGGAAAACCAAGUUAUGUGGGUUGAUAUGGGCACCAGCAUACCGAUUUUGCUCCUGAAGUUUAAGGCCAUUGGAAGCAAUAUCACUGGGAGAUGACACAAACAAGUUGCCAAGAGUUGCAUCAAACACCAUAAUUGAUCCAUGCUUUGACUGGCUCCAAUCAAUUAACAUUUCCUGCAUACCAAUGGGGUUUUGUGACAGAAGGGUAUUAGACUGGUCUGGUGAGGGAGGUUUAUUACUGUCUGCUGGAGUAGUAUUAGUGAGAUUGACGGUUGUGAUGUCAUGGAUGCUUGGUCUUCUCUUGUCUUUAGCUCCAGAAAGUUGCUGCCUUAUAAAAUACUUCUGUGCAUGGCUUGCAACUUGAGUUGGAGUCUUAGAAACUACGAAAUUCCUGGAAAUAUUCCUCCAAUCCCCUUUCCCAUGCUUUAGAAGCCCCAAAAGAAACCGCCUGUGCUCAUCUUCUGUCCAUGGCACACCUUUCUUCCUCUCCUGAUCACCAUUUUUAGUAGCCAAAGGCUUCUUUCUAUAUGCAUCAAAAUUGCGAUUUUCAAUCCAAUCCAAAGUGAAAGGUGAGCUAAGGUAACCAGGAAUAGCCACCUUCCCUGCUUCUAUGUUACAAACAUCCUCUUCUAGCUCCCUGUAUUGCUUGAUCACAUCAAAAACUGUCUUCCCUGGGAUCAUAGCCGCCACUUUUGUCCAUCUAUCAGGCUCAUGCUCAUCAUAUAUUGCCAAAGCCCUCUCAAAUUCUUUGUUCUCCUCUCUAGUCCACUCUGUGCUUUGGCUAAACCAAUUGGAAUUGGACAUGUACAAAGAUGGAUAUGAAGUUUCCAUGCCUGUGAGUACUUACAGGUUCAUAUUGGAGUACAGAGGAAGAGAAACAGAAAGUAUAUGCAAAGAGUGAGGUUUUCAGAAAAUUUUUUUAUGCUCUUUUUCUUCUCUUCUUAGCA
rnacentral:misc_RNA from 1 species